CAAAGGGCCUCUUGUGUAAGCCACAUGCCAAGGCCCAUCUAAAAGUUCCACUCCUGCUUGGCUCCCGGGUUGCUCUCAACCCCGCAGGGCACUUCUCAAUCCCUGGUGGAAGGUGAAAAAUCGUGCCUCACAGAUUCUCUUCUCAGGAAAGACAAUCCUGAAAGCGAUUUUGUUCGGAUUUCUUAACCGCUAUUUGUCUGCUUCUGCUGUCUUCUUUUUAAGGACCUCGGGGGAUGCCCAGCUGAACACAUGGGCAGCUCCACGACUCCGAAGCCCUGGGAAUUGGAUAAAGGCGGUGGGCACCAUUCCCCAGGCUGAACUGGGCUGUGGUUGAGAACGACGUCAGCUGUUGAAAUGUGAAGUGGUUACAGCUGAUUUCCAGGAAAAUACAGGGAUAACGGCCAAAAGCCAGAGCAUGGAAGGGAGGAUUAGUGGUGGUCCUGGCUGAUUCAGGAAACGAGGAGGAUUGGAUGUGUUGAGGGUGUUGUUUCCAGCAUCUCUGAGACUUCCCAACGAGAUGUUUUCCACUCCACGAAUACAAGAAUCAAAGCUUAAAAGACGAAGCCUGGGCUCAAAAUUAAGUGCAGGAGUCGCCAGGCUGAUGAAACAAUGAGCCUGGGAGAAUAUGGAGACCCUAGCAGUGGGACCCUGGAAACAGCAUUAUCCGAGGGGCAGGUCGAGAUGAAUGGCCCACAGGAGACCAAGAAUAAACCAGGAGUCAGGUUUCACAGAGGAAGAAGAGAUCAUGGUCUUGUUGCAUGGCAUUAAAAAGCUCCAGGAGCAUAAAGACUGAAAGGUAUCUACUGGCUUUAGCAAUUAGGAGGUCCCUGGUGACCUAGGCAAGAACAAUCCCAGAGUGUAGGGAGAGCAACAGUUCCGGUAGACUGAAGAGUGGAUACAACCAUCUCACUGCAAUUCAGCAUGACCCAUAAAAGACAAUCACCAUCAUUCAGAGAUGCACACUGAUACUUGCCGAGGCUGAGGACUUAGCCAGCUUGCUCAUGCCAGGAUGUUCAGAGCAGUGUCUUGUGUUUUUGUUUGUUGUUGUUGUUGCUUUUUGAGACGGAGUCUAACUCUGUGGCCCAGGCUGGAGUGCAGUGGCGCGAUCUCGGCUCACUGCAACCUCCGCCCUCCGAGUUCAAGUGAUUCUCC
rnacentral:lncRNA from 10 species